AACGAACGCUGGCGGCAUGCCUAACACAUGCAAGUCGAACGAGACCUUCGGGUCUAGUGGCGCACGGGUGCGUAACGCGUGGGAACCUGCCUUUAGGUUCGGAAUAACUCAGAGAAAUUUGAGCUAAUACCGGAUGAUGUCUUCGGACCAAAGAUUUAUCGCCUUUAGAUGGGCCCGCGUUGGAUUAGCUAGUUGGUGGGGUAAAGGCCUACCAAGGCGACGAUCCAUAGCUGGUCUGAGAGGAUGAUCAGCCACACUGGGACUGAGACACGGCCCAGACUCCUACGGGAGGCAGCAGUGGGGAAUAUUGGACAAUGGGCGAAAGCCUGAUCCAGCAAUGCCGCGUGAGUGAUGAAGGCCUUAGGGUUGUAAAGCUCUUUUACCCGAGAUGAUAGUGACAGUAUCGGGAGAAUAAGCUCCGGCUAACUCCGUG
rnacentral:rRNA from 1 species